UACUCCCGCCGGCGACCGGCGCACGGGUGAGUAACACGUAUGAAACCUGCCCGUAGCAGGGGAUAAGCGGAAGAAAUUCCGUCUAAUACCGCGUAACAACCCGAGGAGGCAUCUCCUCGGGUUUAAAGGAAGCGAUUCCGGCUACGGAUGGACAUGCGUCGCAUUAGCUAGUUGGCGGGGUAACGGCCCACCAAGGCGACGAUGCGUAGGGGUUCUGAGAGGAAGGUCCCCCACACUGGUACUGAGACACGGACCAGACUCCUACGGAAGGCAGCAG
rnacentral:rRNA from 1 species